UACGAAGGGGGCUAGCGUUGCUCGGAAUCACUGGGCGUAAAGGGUGCGUAGGCGGGUCUUUAAGUCAGGGGUGAAAUCCUGGAGCUCAACUCCAGAACUGCCUUUGAUACUGAAGAUCUUGAGUCCGGGAGAGGUGAGUGGAACUGCGAGUGUAGAGGUGAAAUUCGUAGAUAUUGGGAAGAACACCGGUGGCGAAGGCGGCUCACUGGCUCAUAUCUGACGCUCAGGCGCGACAGCGUGGGGAUCAAACAGG
rnacentral:rRNA from 1 species